rnacentral:lncRNA from 1 species
CAACUGACUACUGUAACGAGUAUCAGCUCUGUCCAACAUUCUGAACCUAUAAUAUAUGCGCAUGCAAUUAUACAAUAGAAGUAAAAUUGCAACAUUAAAAUAUGAAGGAAAGACAAAAAAGAGAGAGAAUAAGGAGAGGGGGCAGCGGUGCUCCGACAAUAUUUGCUACUUCUUCAAAUGCACCGGCUUCAAAAAGCGAGGAAUAGGCCUAACCUAUAAUCGACAAGUAAACGCAUUUGGAUGCUUGCAGGAAGAUGGAGAGAAGAGGUAAAAAAGGAACAAACUAGCACUACAAGCCACAAAGUGCCCUCUAGUUCAUCUUUGGGUAAAGAGAUAUCUAACAAACCUUGAAAGUGUACAAAAACUAGAAAUAAAAAGACUCAAAACAAUCAACAAGACAGCAUAGCUUUCCUUCUCUGUUCAACUCCUUGGUAAUUUGCUGCAAUCCAACUUGCUGCAUGAAGGCUACCACAAAUAAAACGCACAAGGAACAAAACACUUAAAACAUGGUACUCGAAAGAAAAUAGAAAAAGAUAAAAGAGUUGCGACAAGAAUUAGGUGCCAGCAAUACUAACCCCAAAGAAGAACAAUUAGCAUGUCAAGCUAUGGCCUCACAAGGUCUCAUGUUUCAAAUAAAGCAAUGAAAUGUCUGACAUCUGGCUAGGAUUUCAAAUAUAUGUUAGAACAAAAGAGAGACAACCAAUAUAAUUUGUUUCACAAAUAUUAAGAUGCAAUGAUUGCAAUGAACUUAUUUCAAAUAUAUGUUAGAACAAGAGAGAGAACCAAUAUAAUUUGUUCCACAAAUAUUAAGAUACAAUGAUUGCAAUGAAAUUUAAAUCCUAGAAUAACCAUGAUGCUUCAAGACAAUAAUCUAACAUGAGCUAGGGAACUGGAACUGGAACUUGCAACUUGUACCAAACCAAACCAUUUUUUUGUCCCAAUCAAUUGGGGUAAGUUACAUGAAUCCUUUUACGCCAUUGAGCUCUAUCAAUGGGCAAAUAUUCCCUGAGAUUCAAAACAGCCAUAUCAUUUUUUACUACUGCAUUCAAUGUUAACUUAGGUUUACCUCUCCUUUUAGUAGUGUCAUUACCCACUAAUCAUAUAACUUUUUCUUAAUACCACAUCAAUAAACCUACGGCAUAUAUGUUUAAACUACCUAAGUCUAUUUUUUUUAGCUUAUUCUCAAUUGGUGCAACUCCUACCAUGUCACGAAUGUUAACAUUCCUAAUUUUAUCCCCCUAGUCUUACCAUGCAUCCACCUCAAUAUUUUCAUCUUAGCUACACAUAUUUUAGCCAUAAUAUUGCUUCUUAGUUGCCAAACAUUCAAUCCCAUAUAACAUCGCCGGUCUUAAGAACUUGCAACUUGUAAAUUUAAAAAAUUCCCAUCAUAUAAAACAAGCGAAAAUGCCUUUCCAUAAACCUAACACACUAGAAAUUGGAUUAUUUUCAAUACAGGGUAGUUAGCUCACCAUAAAAUUUAGUUGCAGUUGCCGUGCAUCGAUGCAACUCUCAUUGCUUAUGAUGGCUUAUCUCAAACAAACUUCUAACUAAAAAGACACUGAAAUGAGAAUAGAAUUAAUUUUUAACCAUCAUGAUCCAACAAAUACAUAAUAUAUUUGUUCAAAAGGCUAUAAAAAAAAUCAAAAAAAAUGCAACUCAAGCACUAUUUUGAUGGAAUGAUGAGCUAUGAAGUGACAAUGCACCAAUUGCCUCUAAAACUUGCGCUAUUAGAAAAUAAGUCCAACAAUGACGAUAUCCAACACCCUUCCCUCAGUGCAACUCCAUCUUAUAACCGAAGAUGCAAACAUACAUGAAACGAUACAGAAUGCAAAAAGUAUAUUGGUAAAAAGCAAGCGAAAAACGCAUACAAACAAAAAAACUGUAACAAAAGGUCUUUAAGAAACCAAAAAUCUUGACACCAUGUUAGUCACCAAUUAUACCAAGAGAUUAAGUUGCUCGUAAGUUCCAAUAAUGUACAAGUAUAAACUCAACCAACACAUAACACUCCCUUAUAGUAUACCAAAGAACAAUGAUAGGUACACACCCUCUCACAAACAAAGUGGGGCCCUCACAAACACAGUGGGACUCGCCCUCAAACACAGUGGGACCCGCCCUAAUUAGUAUUUGUAGGGCGAACCCCACUAUUUUGGUGAGAGAGUCUGGGUGUGUACAAAAAUUGGGUGUAUACCUAUCAUUUUUGUAUACCAAAACUACAAAUCCUACAAAGAAAUCCAACAAAAAAUGCCAUCUUGAGCACAUAUCCAUUUAAAGUUUUUAGGAAUGAUCACAAGCUCUACAUCCACCAGAAAAAUAACAAUACAUAAAUUGAAUAGUAAAAUGUCCCGCUAAAUCACAUAAAGGUAUUAUUGGAAAUCCAUAAUUGGUUAAAUGUGGUAAUGGAGAUCAAGAUCCACCAUUCGGAAAGUCAUUUUUUGUCAUCUAAACUUGGACAGACCAAAUACGAAAAUUUGCAGUAUUGCCCAGUUGGAAACAUAUUUUUCAUUGAACCCUAGUUGGAAACAUAUUUCAAAAGAAGCACAAUGGUCAGCCAAGUUAAGAUGCAAUGGAAGAGAGUUGGAUAUAAUACCACUGUGGUCAGUCAUUCUUUGCAAUGCACCUUUCAUACCCACAGCCAGACCUCCUAUUGCCUUUCUACAAACAAAGUUCACAACUAACCACACCUUACUUGAGAGAUAAUAAGAGAACACAGUUCUAAACUCGAGUGGAAACCAAGUUCAGGUUUCCCACCCAAUUUAGCACCAUGCAGUAAUUACUGAACACACCUGCAUCACAUGUGGGUCUGGUAUCUAGCUAUAAACAAAGGAAAAUACUUAAUAUUGCCUAACAGGAACUCGUUAAAAAAAAGAAGUGGAAAGGAGAUUUUACCAGCAUGCUUUGCAACAACAUUUACUAUGUCCCCCUCAUAAGCAUAUUCAAGCUUAAUGACAAGCUGGGAUCAUAUGCCAAAUACAUGACGUGCAGAUGCAAUUAGGAUGAUAGAAAAAAAAAUUGGCAAAAAGAGAUGAGAAAGACAGGUUGGGGUUCUCCAACACAUCUAUUUGUAUGACUUAAGAGAUGGAGGAUUAAUCACAAGCCCUAUAUCCACCAGAAAGCCAGAACUCGAUAUCCGACUAAUAAAUGUGUGAGCAGCCUAAUCUAGUUAAAACAUAUAUCAGGAGAAGAAGCAUUCCCUCAUCAGAACUUUAACAAACCAAUACGAAAAAUGCAGCUCCAUCCUAGUGUGCAAGACUGCAAAAUAUAAAAUAUUGCCCCACUAUCUAGAAAAAAAAAUAUGGAACACAUAAGAUGUAUGAGAGACGGUUGGAUAUGAUGCCACCAUGGUCAAUAAUUUUUCAUGAUGCACUGCCCACAUGGCUUCAGAUUGCUUUUUUUGCAAAUAAUAAUCACAAAUAACCAACACAUCACUCGAGCGAUAAUGAGACAAAACUAUUAAAACGGGAGCUGAAAGCUAAUGUUGCCCCACACAUUUUAGUAGCACAUGGUAUUUAGUCUUUACUAAAAACACCUGCACCACAAGCAUGAAACUGGAACCUUCUACAAACAGGGGCAGAGAACAGCAUCAACAGUAUUUACCAUGUUUCCCCAAAAAAUUAUAAUUAAGGCUUCAUACCAAAUAUAUAACAAGUAUGCAAGUAGAAUGAUAGAAGAAAAAGGAAUGGCAAAAAGAGAGGAGAAAACAUGGGGUGUGAGGGUACUCCGCAGUCUCCGCCAUUUUUGCGAUAACUCCAAACACAUACAGGAGAAAUGCUACAGUGAUACGGCCUACCUAAUAACCCAUAACGGACAAGAAAACGCACUAGAGGAUGCUAGGAGAAGGAAGAGAUGAAAAAAGAAUAAACUGACAAUAAAACAUGCCAUGCAUUCUCAUGUAAAGAACUGUCUAACAAAUCCAAAAAGAGGCUGUACAAAAGCCAAAAAUGAAACAAUUAGCAUGGAAAAAAUUACUAUCCUUCCACCGUUAAGCUCCCAGGUCCUGCAAACCACCUUGCCACAUGGCGGCAGACACCACCCAGCGCACAAGGAGCAAACAAUUGAAAUAAAGUUAUUAACAGGAGAAGAAAAAAUGAAGACUGACAAGGAGGAGUUCCAGCUUCACUAGCCCAAAGGAGGAACAAGUUGCAAACUCAACGAGGGCCUCACAAGCUUUUAUACUUCAGAAUGGCCUCAUAAAAUCUAGUAUGGAUUGCAAAUUUCUGGCAGAACAAUAGAAAAAAACAGUAGAACACAAAAACAGAAUCAUCAAUAAAUUAAAAAAAAUAAUCCCACAAAUACCAACAUGCAAUACUCAACUAAUACUAAGAAACAAUAAAUCAUUGAACUUUGGAUCCAACAAUAACCAUGGUGGGUCAAACAAUCAUUCAACUUGAGUUGGGGAAAUGGCCUACAUCGCUAGAGGAACUCCAAUGCCAUGCUUGUUACUUAUCGUGGCUUGGUUUGGUUUGGUUUAUGAAAGAUACAAUACAGCUUGGUUUUAUAGCCAAAAAAUCCAAGAAAUUGGUUUCAUAGCCAAGAAAUUUAAGAAAAAAGAAAAUAACAUUAAAAAUAAUAUCACAAUAAAUAUACUCACAAAAAAGUUCUAAAUAGAAAUCAACAAACACAAUGAACUACAAUAGUCGUCACCUGAUGGAUGGGUCAAUUCUCUCCAAACAAAACAAAUAAGAAAUCAGCGAAAAAGAUAGAAAACAAAAUGUGAAUCAACAAUUACAUAAAGCAAAAUCGAAAAUCAAAUUACAAGAAAGGCAUGAAAGCAUGAAAUAAAAUUUUGAAUUAAAAAAACUGAACAAGUGGAGAAAAAAAUAUCUAUGAAUAGAGAUACAAAAUUAUAGAGAGAGAAAAGAAAAGAAAGAUACUUCAUUAAUCAUACAAACAAAGACAGAGAGUAGAUCAAAUAAAAGUAAAAAUUCAUAAACGAUGCAAUACUGCUUGAUUUUAUAGCCGCGAAAUCUAAGGAAACAAAAAAUAACCUUGAAAAUAAUAGAAGAAUAAAUAUACUCAAAAUAAAGUUUCUAAAUAGAAAUCAACAAACACAAAAAGUCAAUUCUCUCCAAACAGAGCAAAUAAGGAAACUACAAAAAAGAUGAAAAAAAACUUGAAUCAAUCACCAAAAAAGCCAAAAUCAAAUUACAAAUAAAAUCGAAGAUUACUAUGAACUCUGGAGGCUAGAACAAUUGAAAAAAUUAAUCAUCAUAUAGGCAAAAUGAAAUACUAAGACAACCCAAUAAUUGAAAAACUUCACUAAAAAUACAACAAACACAUAUUUGUAGCCAAUAAACGAGAAAUACAAGAAAAAAGAGAAAAAUAAACUCAACACAUGGAUACUUUGAAUUAUAAACUAAGUUUUGGAACAAGAAAAGAUCUUCUACCAUUCAAAAAAUAAACAUUCUAAGAUACAUAGAAAUUAAAUUUAUUAUUAACUAAAAAAAGAAGAAAGAAUCAAAAUGAUGAGGUUGCAAGAAACUCACGGAAGAUUGUUUUUUAUUCUCGACCAACCAUAUCUCUACCACCGCUCUCUCUUACCGACUCUUCUCUAUAUAUCUUCGAUCAGCCAUGUUCAGUCUUUCUCUCUUUAUUACUCUUCACUCUAAAUGUUUUCCGAGAAUGAUUAGAAUUAGUGGGUAUUUAGGGUAACCAUAAAGGGUAAAAAAUCAAGAAUCCCAUCAAAACAAAUUCAACAAAAAGACACCAUCCCUCUAAAGAUAGACAGAAAAUGCUAGGUUUUCAACAAGAAGAAAACGCUCAUCCAUCUUUCGAAUUGCCACCAAUGGAAAAUUACUUGGGGGGAUUACUUUAACUAAAGAAAUACUACUGCAAAACAUUUUUAUCAAAUGAAAUGAUUUAGGAAAAAAAAGAUAAAAACAACAAAAGCUAAUAACAAGAAUGUUUAUACCUAUGUUUUGUCUUUGGUUGUGCUUUAACAUCAGCAUUGACACCAAUACUUAUUGAGAAUAUAUGAAACAUGUCAUAAUCAUUAUUCCAAACAAGAUCUUUUUCAAAUUAUUCUGCAAAUCAUAAUAGACUAUUUCAUGGACCUAAGAGAACUCAAAAAACAGGUGUACAGAGGAGUUAGAGGCCGACAGUUAACCAUUCUCCAUGGGAAAUUGCGGCGCAUCGUGUCAGACACCCGUAUUGAACACCGACUCUCCUCAAACACUUUUUCAAAGCAAACUUGCGUUGUUUUGACCUGCUUUAGAUGUCAAUUUAGUCUAAAAUGAUCAUAUUUGAAUUAACCAAGUGAGAUGUAAAUACAAGUGAAACCAAAUGUUUAAUUGCAGGGAAUGCAUUCAUCUCAGGAUACUGCAGCUAGCGAUAGUCGAAAAGUCCAACAAUCUUGUACACCACAGAAAUGGGGAGCAAAUGGCUAGCCCACUUUCUAGCCAGGAAAUUUGAGUUGCCGACUAUCAGAGAGAUGGAAGAUGUGAAGAGUUGGGAGAAGUGCAUGUGGCGGUAUGCUUGUGAAGAGUACAAAAGAUCAUGUGUUUGUCUCUUGCUACAAAUACACUGCAAUGACUAUUUGUGCAGAGAUAUGGGAUGCAAUCCAAAGAGAAAUAAAUGGUUUCUCUCAGAUUUGUUUGCUCCUCGUGAUUCUACAGAUUAUGCAAACUUAACCCGGCCAAUGUAGUGAAAUAUAUGUAGAUGAUUUUGGUAAAACUUAAUCAUAUGUUUGCUUGUUCAAUAGGUUGUUUCUCGUGCUUGAGCAUUUUAUUGAUAGGAUCUGUUUGUUUCAGGUUUAAGUGGCCUAGUUGUUGCUUGUCAACCAUCAAUGGGAAACCGCUAACAACUAUACCUAUCACAAACGGCAAAAAUUAGGGCCAUUUCUUAGCUUCACCAACCUGCAAAUGGAUAGUAGCUAUGGAACCUUUAUAGGCUGUGACGAAGCAAAUUAAACAGGAAAAUUACACAAUAUAAAAGCACCAUUUAACAUCCAAAUAAAAUGCAUUCAGAUUUACAGCUAGAGAGUCCUUUAGGGUUUUCACACAUGAUCUGAAUCGAUCCUGGAGAAUGCUCCAAUAGCUUAAAGUUUCUUGCGGUCUUCCAGCUGCAGAUAGAGAGAUUUGAGAAUAGAUAUUAAAAUUUACAUUGAAAAAUGAUGAUCAAGGACUCAAUGUGGGUCUCAAAAAUGGCAAGAUCUCUGCACAAAUCGUUUUCUUAAAGAGGGAUCCCAAAAUUCGGGACCCUUGCUUGAACUGAAUACCCACACCCACAGCUCCAUUAUUGAGAUCGAAAGGAUGACCAGAAUAAAUGUACAACAUUCUAUUUUGUGGUUCAGUACAGUCGCAAGAAGUUUGAACAACAAAUUUGGAGUUGAAUUAGCACAUUCAGGAAUACCCUCUUGCUUGCUAAGCAAUGAAAGGACAUAUGAAACGAAUAGAACUCAAGGCCUAUAUGGACUGCAAAAAACCGAUGAUUCACUUCCAAGUUAAAAAAAAAAAAAAAGAAGAAACUUUAGAUUGAAAGUCAUGGUCAGUCCCGCCCAAGCCGCCCAUGUCGGCUUGGCCAGUGGCAAUUUUGUGUAGGGUUUACAAAAAAAAAAUAUAAAAACUUUUUAAUGUAUAUGGAAAAGAAAUGCAGGAUGACUUACCUAUUGACUCUUUAUUGCAGAUAGAACUAAUGCAUUUUCUCUUUAUGAACACAAAAUAAGAUCCCAUUCUGAACCACACCAAUCUCACACGCUAUACAAAAAAACUAAUGAUACAUUUUAUGAUGUCAAUAAUCAUGCUAAAUUUUGGUAAGGACGAACAACUUGAGUUAUUAACAAUAAAACAGGCUCAUUGUUAUUUAAAACUAGUAGUUGACCUACUGUGCCAGACGUGGGAUUUGUAAAACUUGAUUGUCAUAACAAAUUCCUAUUGAUCUAGUCUAAUCUAACAUAUAUGUAAAAGACGUGAACUUAUGAAAAGGACAAGGGCAAAACAAAGUGGAGAGACAACUUGCAAGCGCAACCCAAAGCAUCAAGUUUACCAGAUAAAGGAUGGCAGAACUCUGUUAUUGCAAAGCUUUUUUCUGCUGCCAAAAACAAAGCCAAUGAUGUCAUUAAAACAUGUGCGCGCACCCCCACCCCCACCCCCAAAAGGAGCCAUCAUGCACCCAAGACUAUAUUAAGCAAGAAAGAACAAACAAAAGCUAAAGACUACAUUAAGCACGACUUAGUAGUUAUCCUUUUUCACCAAACAAAGAUGUACAAUACCUCUCCCUUAUUUACGUGGGCAAACGACCUUGGGCCACUCUCCUGUCCUUCUUGGCAAAGGAAAUUCUUUCUUAGACGGAAACAGUAGUUCCCCCUCCAACUUGGAGGUAUUGUCCUUAAAGAAAUACACCAAAAUAGAAGCAUCAAAUCAACAAGACACCAUAUAGCCGAAGAAAAACUAAACACAAAGACAACAUGCCCGAAGGAGCACAACUUACAAACCGCGUAGCAUAACACACUAUAAACAGCAGAUUACAACACCUAACAUCAAAUCAAGAACAAGAAAUGCAAGUUAAUAAGAUGAGCAGAAUUUAUAUGUGGCAUGCAUGUAUCAGAUAAGCGCUCAUCAUCAAUAACUUGCCCUUAAAAUGAGGGGACCCUAACACAAAAGGGUCCAAAAUUAACAAAGGGCAAAGAUUCAUAAACUUGAUACAAUCAACUAAGUUCUUACUCUGUUGAACACUUUCCAUAGACGAUACUACGGAGCUCAAAGUUGAACAAAUUCCUCUUCCCCCUUAACUUAGAAGAAGGGAUCCACCAGUUCAGCUGCAUUUCUCCAACCCUUUGCCAUUGACAGAAAAGAGUACAAAUCAAAGUCAUCCUCUUGUUGCAUCAUCAAAUUGUCGACACUGAAAUAACUAGCAUCAAGAAACUAACAUUUCCACCACAUACAACUAGUAACAGGAGAAGCACUAUACAAUACCUAAAAGAAGCUUGGUCUAUGAACCAACAGGGACAAGUGUUUUGAAUCCACUAGCAUUGCUAGCAAUCCAAGUGAGAACCGGAAAUAGUGCUUGCAAUUCAGAUAUCAUAUAGUUUGUCCCCCUAAAUAUCAAUUGCAUGACCAUCUUAAUAACUAUCACCCUACCCGGACCCUACCCGGAGAUCAUUGGUCAUUAUGCUAUUGUCACAACAAGAAUGAGUGCCAGUAGUACUAAUCCAAAGGAAGAAAAAUCGGUAAAAUAAUAUAGAUUGCCUUAAUUUGUAGACAAAAAUCAUAACUAACCAACACAGAACUCGAGAGAGAAUGAGAAAAUAAAGCUCUAAAUAGGAGCUGAAAAAAAAUUCAGGUUGCCCGAUAAUUUUAGCAGCACAUGGCAAUAACCAAACACAUCCACACCAUAAGUAUGAAUCUAGCAUAUGCAACAAAAGUGUAAUAGCGCAAUGUAAUAUCAAUGAACUGGAGAGAAGCAUGGUUGCUCAAAAACUCCAACAUUUAUCAAAUUUAGGGCACUACCCCACAAUCUCGAGAAAACGAAGGACAAUAAGAUGAGGGUUGGAUAUAAUACCCAUGAUUUGUCGUUCUUCAUUAUGCACCUUGCCUACCCAGUUCCCGACAUCAGAUUGCUUUUCUGCAAAUAAAAAUCACAAAUAACUACACCAUACUCAUGAGAUAUUAAGAGAAUAUAGUUCUAAACUGGAGUGGAAACAAACUCAGAUUUCCCAAGUGAUUUAGAACCAUAUAGCAAUUACUAAACACUUCAUCACAAGUAUGAAUCUGGUUUCUCGCUACAAACAAAGAACUUAAUAUAGCCAGACAAGAACUCAUAAAGAAAGGAGAAACGAAAAGGCGAUGUUACCAAUCUGGGUUCUCCAAUAUGCUUUCCAAACAUGAACUCAUAAGCACAAUUCAGGCUUCAUGGCGUGCUAGAAUCACAUAUCAAAUCUAAUCAAACAUUCAAAUGCAGUUGGGAUGAUACAAGAAAAUCAAUGGCAAAAAGAGAUGAGAAAGAUGGGAUGGAGCAAUCCAACAAUAUUUGCUUCUUAAAUCACAUUCAGGCAUAAAAACUAUGCAAACAUAUGCCAAACCUAUAAUAACACACAAGAAAACACAUUAGGAUGAUAGUUGAAGGGUAGAAGAGGUGAAAACCGAAGAAAGAAACACUAUAUACAAUUAGUAGCUAUUGGCAAGAAAGACUUAAAAGAUAAAUAGAUCGAGCGAUAUGCUAAGAGACCUGCAAAUAGAGAACUCCAAGCACUUAUUAAUCAUCAAUGUACCUGUCACCAAAAAAAAAUUAAAAUGAAACAAAAACAGAAACUUCUACGAUAUGAGGAUGUCUCUCUCUUUAUUACUCUAUCUCACUCUAAACGCUUUCUGAAAAUGAUUAGAAUUAGUGGGUAUUUAGGGUCAUCAAAAAAGAUAAAAAAUCAAAAAUCCCAUCAAAACUUCAACAAGAAGACAACAUCAUCGCUCUAAAGAUAGCCAGAAAAGAUUAGGUUAAAGAAUCCCACCAAUACAACUUCAACAAGAUGAACAAAAGAUGACAACACUCAUCGAUCUUCCAAACUGGUACCAAUGAAUAAUUAAUUUAAAAGAAAAAGGGGAAAAAAUCUUUCACCAGGAGAGCAAAAUAAUGAAAAGGACAAUCUAACUACUGCAAAACAUUUUUAUCAAAUGAAUUGAUUAUGGAAAAAAGGGUAAAAACAGCAAAAACUUAUAAAAAGAAUGUUUAUACCUAUGUUUUGUCUCUGGUUGUACGUUAACAUCAACAUUGACACCAACAAUUAUCGAGAAUAUAUGAAAGCCGUCAUAAUCAUCAGUCCAAAUAAGAUCUUUUCCAAAUUACUCAUCAAAUUACAAUAGACUACUUCAUGAACCUAAGCAAACUCAAAAAACAGGUAGAUAGAGGAGUUAGAGGCCGACAGUUAACCAUUCUCUUUGGGGAAUUGCUUUCCCAUAACUAUGUAUCAGAUUUAGAAACCAAAUCGGAUCUAGGAGCAAGUGAUGGAAACAGUGAUAUCCCUCUUUACUGGAAAAUGUUAUGCACUUAUGCCAAAUGGCCCAAAUCACUUAUCCAAGAGACGAGACUCAAUGCUCUACAUAAAACUAAAACAACUAACAAACUGUAAAGGAGAGAAACCUCUUAAAAGCUUUGUGAUGGGUAUCUCCCACACUUCUUCCCCAUAAAUUUCAGCAAAGAACAGAGUAUGGACCAAGGGAUGAUAUUGAAACUCCUCAACUGAGUUCACUUCAAACAACCAAAUCCCUACACAAACAAUUCAAACAUGAUGGUAUCCAACAUCAAGGAACACUAAUGCCAAAAACAAGAUCAGAAGAUGAAUACGAUCCUUUCAUACAGAUGCAAAAUGAUGUCACCAAAAUUAUGCUCCUAAUGCACAAGUCGAUUGAUGACGUAUAAACAUCUCUGAGUCAUGAUUUGACGAAUAGCUCAACUUAUCUCUACCACCAAUACAAUGACAAAAAUGACAAAAAAUCACACGAAAAGCAGCCAUCAUUCACCGAAGACUACACUAAGCAUGAAGCCAAACUAAAGACUACAUUAAGCGCAAUCUUAGCAGCUAGCCUUUUCCACCUAACAAUGAUGUACAAUACCUCUCCCUUAGUUACCCAGACCAAAUGACCGCUAGCCACUCUCCUGUCAUUCUUGACACAAGCAAUUCUUUUUCGGCCGAAAAAAAGAAACAACAAAGGCUUUUGUUUCCCCUCCAACUUGAACAUAUCGCCCUUACAAAAAUACACCAAUGCAGAAGCAAAAAAUGAAAAGAAAUGCACAAGACAACCAUGAGAAGAAAGCAAAAUUUAAACGUGGCAUGCAUUUAUCAAAUGAAUUUAGUCUUAACACAAUAUCACAAGAAGCUAGGUUACUCUCUUUCAAAAACUUUACACAACUUAAAUAAGUCGAACAUAAUACUAUAAUCAGUUAAGUUCGUACUUAUACAAACACUUUCCGCACAUAACGCAAAGUUGAACAUAUUCCUCUUCCAUUACUUAGAAAAAUUGAGCCACUCAUUCAGCUACAUCUCUAUUCAUUAAAAAAAAAAAGUACAGAUCAAAGCCAUUCCCUCAUUGCAUCAUCUAGUUGUCAAUACUUAAAUGGGUAAAAGACCCAAAUCACUCUAACACCAAGGCAACAAAUAUUUGAAAAGAGAAAUAUACUGAAUUGAAUGAGCAUCUUAAUACCUUUCAACCUAACCAGUUAUCAUUGGGCAUACCGUUGUUAUCACAACAUUAAUAAGCCUGAAACUUCUCUUUCUGCCCAGUCCUUUUUCCUGUUCGAACCAAAGGUCAAUGAUCAUUCCAUUAUUUAUAUCGAUUUGAGUGAACAUCAUCUAAUCGGGAAAAAAUAUUUUGCAUAUAACCAAAAUUCAUGCAUCAUAGAUUUAAGUUUAUUAUGUUAACAAUGCAAAACAUAAAAUACAAUGUUUUGUACUAAAGCAUUAACAAGCCCUAUCAACAUAGCAUAAAUAGGCCCGAACCUUAACUAUCAACCUUCCACUACAAACGACCUACAAAAUACUUGCAUAGGUCAAUUAAAAAGCAAAUUAUCGUUUUUAUGAGCACCAACAAAUCAUCCAUUAUUUACAAAAAUAAUAAUCUUCCAACUUCAGCACAAAUUCCUUCUCUGUUUUGUUAUGGGCAUGUUUGGAACUCGUUGAAAGAAAGAGAAAAGAACGAAAUGUUAGUAAGGGAGAAAUAAAAGGGGAAGUAUAAUUAUUUUUCUCUGGUUUUACAAAGAAAAUAAAGGAAUACAAAUAAGGAAAAUACCUUCCCUGUAACUGAAUUAACAAAAACCCUACCAGUUCAGCACCAGACCAUCAGUCAAUCCCUCUCUCCUUCAAAAUAUGGACCACAGACGAUAAGAAAGAGGAAGUAACGAACCCGUAACUGAAUUAACAAAAACCCUACCAGUUCAGCACCAGACCGUCAGUCAAUCCCUCUCCCCUUCAAAAUAUGGACCACAAACGAUAAGAAAGAGGAAGAAACGAAGAAAACUAUAACAAUAAAAAAAAAUGAGGUAAACAAGUUUCUUUACAAGUUAUGAGAUGCAAAGAUGGAAACAAACAAACCAGGCAUAAUUAAUCUAGAAUCGUCAAGCAUUCUGUCCUCCAUCCCUAUGUUUAAGUUAGCAAAGCAAUAAAAUGGACCUAUGAACUCCAGCCUCAACAAAGGGCUUACCAAAACGCAGCAUCAUAAAAUUAUUUAAAAUUCACAAGAAGCACCCUGCAAUAUUUAUGUAAAAACGAGGACAAGAAGAUGACAAUAACCAGAUGGAACACAUCUUUACAAUAAUAGAAAUAUAAGGCAGCUCAAGAAACCUCCUUGCUCUAAUAAUGCUUUGGAUACCGGGCAACAACCAUUGCAAUAUAAAAUAAAAGACAAAAAAAUGAUGGUCCAGAUUCAAGGAGAUGCAAAACCUGAUACCGCACUCACCAGACACAUGAAAUUCAAAAUUGCUAUUUACCAGUGCUCCAUGUUUAAAUAAACAAUAGAAGCCAUCAAAAGAAAAGGUGAAAAAAUAAAAAAGGAACCAUGGUACCUAGAACCUGAACAAGAAGACAGGAAUGCACAUAUUAAUCAUCAAAGUACCUGUCACCAAAAGAAAGAAUCAAAACAGAAACUGCUAUGGGUAGAACAAAACAGCAAAUCAUAUAAAAACCAGUACCAAUCCAGCUACAUCCUGUCCACAACAGAUACGAACAGACGGGGAAAUACUAAGCAUUCACCUUAAAAAUUCAAGGAUAAGGGAAGCCUCACCCGAAAUUGACUAUACCAAUAAAAUUCAAGAUACCCACUCAUAUCAAUAAAUACUGCAUAAAGAGAUCAGGAAAGAGGUCACCAAAAAAGGUUCAAGAAUCCCAUCAAAACAAAUUAAAGAACAAGACAGCGCUCAUCGAUCUUCAGGAUCUUCCGAACAACUGGUACCCAUAAACAAUUAAUUAUUAAAAAGGAGGGGGGAAACAAAACUGUGAACGCCAACCUCAAUAAGGGCUUUCCCAAGUGCAGCAUCGUAAAAUUAUUUAAAAUCCGCACGAAGCACCCUGAAUUAUAAACGGAUCUAAUACAGAUUUCAGAACCCAAAAAAUUCUCACCAAGGAGGGCUCGCAAACAGCUCUUAUGAUUCAAUUGAUAUUACUUCACAAAAAUUGUUCUAGUAAAUAGCAAAACCAAGAAUAGAUCUCUUAUGAACGUAUCAUCAAAUCCAAACACAAUAUCAUGGACGAUCUCCUAAGUCCAGAUUUGGAACCCAAACCACAACUGUCUUAAAGAAUUCAAUGAACCCAAAAAGGCACGAGACCCAACCAGCACAACUUGAAUACGUAUAUCAUCAAAUUCCACAAAGAAAGCAAUGAUUACCUUGAUACCAAAAAAUACCUUGAUAAACAACUUCAAAUCAACCCGAAACGCUCUCUACGAAUCACAAAAUCUCUAACAACAUCUCUGCGAAGCGAAUAAAGAACACAGAGCCUACGCGAGAAACGAGGCACGGUGUCCCAAUUUAUAGGUGAAGUCGGUGCAGAGACACGGCUAGGAUUAAGUGUGGGUUUGAGAUCGGACGGUUGAAACCCG